rnacentral:rRNA from 1 species
GCAAGUCGAACGGCAGCACGGGGGCAAUCCUGGUGGCGAGUGGCGAACGGGCGGUAAUACAUCGGAACGUGUCCUGUAGUGGGGGAUAGCCCGGCGACAGCCGGAUUAAUACCGCAUACGAUCUGUGGAUGAAAGCGGGGGAUUCUUCGGGACCUCGCGCUACAGGAGCGGCCGAUGGCAGAUUAGCUAGUUGGUGGGGUAAAGGCCUACCAAGGCGACGAUCUGUAGCUGGUCUGAGAGGACGAGC